rnacentral:rRNA from 1 species
UGGGGUUCUUCCGUAGGUGAACUGCGGAGGGAUCAUUACAAGAACGCCCGGGCUUCGGCCUGGUUAUUCAUAACCCUUUGUUGUCCGACUCUGUUGCCUCCGGGGCGACCCUGCCUUCGGGCGGGGGCUCCGGGUGGACACUUCAAACUCUUGCGUAACUUUGCAGUCUGAGUAAACUUAAUUAAUAAAUUAAAACUUUUAACAACGGAUCUCUUGGUUCUGGCAUCGAUGAAGAACGCAGCGAAAUGCGAUAAGUAAUGUGAAUUGCAGAAUUCAGUGAAUCAUCGAAUCUUUGAACGCACAUUGCGCCCCCUGGUAUUCCGGGGGGCAUGCCUGUUCGAGCGUCAUUUCACCACUCAAGCCUCGCUUGGUAUUGGGCAACGCGGUCCGCCGCGUGCCUCAAAUCGUCCGGCUGGGUCUUCUGUCCCCUAAGCGUUGUGGAAACUAUUCGCUAAAGGGUGUUCGGGAGGCUACGCCGUAAAACAACCCCAUUUCUAAGGUUGACCUCGGAUCAGGUAGGGAUACCCGCUGAACUUAAGCAUAUCAAUAAGCGGAGGAA